rnacentral:rRNA from 1 species
CUCUGCCUUAAGUUUUUUUAUUUCGCCAAACAGACCCAAAAGCUUAAGAGUUAUUCAAAUUAGGCACAGCUUAUUUGAAAUAGGAUACAACCUCCCCCAUUGGGUAAGCAAGGGUAAUAAAAACAAAGUGGGCCCAAAAGCAGCCACCUUUAAAAAAGCGUCAAAGCUUAAUUAUUCUAACCCAUAAUCUCUCAGAUAUCCUCCAACCCAUCACCCCUACUGAACUAUUUUAUACCCCUAUAAAAAUAAUUAUGCUAGAACUAGUAACAAGAAGUAGCCCUUCUCCAUAAUGUAAGCAUAAACCAAAAUGGACACUCCAUUGGUAAUUAACGUAAAUGCAAAACCAUAAUAACACAGCCAGAAAACCUUAUGGCCUCCUACACGUUACCCUAACACCAGAACAUUACAGGAAAGAUUAAAAGAAGGAGAAGGAACUCGGCAAAUUUUAACCCCGCCUGUUUACCAAAAACAUCGCCUCUUGAUUAAACAUAAGAGGUCCAGCCUGCCCAGUGAAAAUAUUUAACGGCCGCGGUAUACUAACCGUGCGAAGGUAGCAUAAUCACUUGUUCUUUAAAUGGGGACUCGUAUCAACGGCAUCACGAGGGUUAUACUGUCUCCUCUCUCUAAUCAGUGAAACUGAUCCUCCCGUGAAGAAGCGGGGAUUUAAUUAUAAGACGAGAAGACCCCAUGGAGCUUUAAACCCGAUAUACACCUCACACUCAAACACCAACUUAACCUUAAAGGCCUGUACAUCGGUUUUAGGCUGGGGGGGCCACGGAGUAAAACUAAACCUCCAUAACAAACGGACUAACACCCUAAUCCACGAUUUAUAAAUCUAAGAAUCACCAAAAUGAUGUUUAAUGACCCGAUAAUUCGAUCAAUGAACCAAGUUACCCUGGGGAUAACAGCGCAAUCCACUUCAAGAGCCCUUAUCGACAAGUGGGUUUACGACCUCGAUGUUGGAUCAGGGUAUCCUAGUGGUGCAACCGCUACUAA